GGGUUAGUAACUUAAUUGGUAGAGGCUUUUCUUGUCACGAAAGGAGAUGCUGGUUCGAGUCCGGUCUAACUCG
rnacentral:tRNA from 1 species